AAUUUUUUAGUAGCAUAAACCCUUUAGUUUUUUUUUUAACUUACUGCUAUCCAUGUUUCCAAACAGUACUAUUUUUAACUACUAUCCAUAUUGCCAAACAAUCUCAAUGUGUACUUCAACUUUAAUAAUAUAGAUGAAAAAUUUAGCAAAAGAAGUUAAAUAAAUAAACAUAACGAAAAAAAAAUUGAAAGGGAAAGAGUCAGAGAUGCAUGUCUUUCACGUGUUGAGAUGUAGUUAAUGUUAAGACAUCACUAUUCACUACCAGGCAAGGUGCAUUUCUCCAUAAGUCUUUAAGGUUUUCGUCGCUUUCUCUCGUUUCCUAACAAUUCUGUUUUGACCCAGCCUCUCUCCCUCUAAAUAAAGUUAAUACGCUUCUCUUAUAUUCCGUGAAUAAGAUAAUUAAUUCAUGCAUCUCACGUUUUCUCUGUCGAUAUUACUUUUCAAGCUAACCAAUUCGCCUACCUUCCACGUACCAACUUCCCUUCUUUUGGUCUUUAGUCUCACAUCUAAACUAAUUGUAAAAACAAAAAAAAAACUCUUUUUUUUUGUCUCAACACAUUAAAUGUGUCAUUUUAAAAAGUUGAAAUAAAUUGAUGGUCUCUUUUUUUUUUCCGUCGAAUAAAAUUUCAUUCCAUGUGAAACACACGUUCUGAUACACAAACUGGCGGAUAAUACAACGUCCCCAGAAGCAAGAACCCAAACAACAGGCAGCUAAAACCCACACCGGAGUGACUUACGACCACAACACAACACAACCAAUCAAAGCAAAGAAACUAGAAACACCAACUAAAAACAACAAGCUAAAACUAACUACACAAAGCAUAGAACAAUCCAAAGCAAGAAACCUCCUGAAUAGCACAAAGCAAUGAUCUGGAAGUAUCGAUGCUGCCCUCGGCCAACCAUACGAUACACUCCACUUGUAGAACCCAAGACUCUACGUCUUCCCAACUCGGAUUUAUCGCUGCCGCCUAUGGCCUGCCGAACGAUACCAUCCCCACUCGUAACCAAGAACCACGACUUCAUAACCCGACAAGAGGAAUCGCUUCACGAUACACACAACUUUCGGAUACGGCUGGACUGCACUCUUUGACGUCCACUAUUUACCUAGAUAGAAGCCCGCCAAAAACUCCCCACAACCAAGCCUCGUCAAAUCUCAAUCAAAUAAGAACAAUGACAUACCAAACCGACGAGAGAUCAUUGCAUUUACCAAAACAGGAAGAGAAAUUUGCGACUGAAAUUGUCAAACACCAAACAACGGAACUGAGCCUCACUGCGACUGCCAGACUUCUAAACUCAGAGGCGCAUUCCUGUGUCGGCCUCAGAACCUACGGCACUGGCACACUCUUUAGCCACAAACGAUGAACCAGAAUGUCAGACGACAAAAGACGGGUCUUGACUACAAAGCACAAACCAAUAGGCCAGAUAUUGUUUCCAACGAUGUCGAGCUCGUACCACCCGCUAGGGUAGGAAUUCCUCACCAGCGUUGGUAUGAGCCCCACCAUGUACCGACGACCAGGUAAUCUCCUACGAUUGACCCAAGAAUCAGGUAGCAAAUCGCCUUCCACUCUCCAUCGAAAAUCUCCUCUGUGUCUCAUUGUCCCAUUGGAAGGGAGAUCCACUGUGAAGGAGUUGUCUUCCAUAUUUAUGCGCCAUCGCCGAGUUGGACUCACCAUGGAUCUGAAGAUUGAAAACCAGAUCUGAUUUAUCCAACCUCCCUAAAAGCCGACUCCCUCCUCCUCUGCCUACUCAUGAGUCUCACCGCUGCUCCAGAUACAGCCAAAGACCGUCUCCGUUAAGAAGAAGACACAUCUCCGGUUAGGUCUAAGGUGACCCAGAACCGCUAAUAUAUCGACAGAGAGAGGCAGUAGAGAAUAGAGCAAAGGAAAACAGAGAAAUAAGGGAUUAGAGGGGCCUCCGGCACCGGCAAACGCCGGACCGGAGUUAGGUUUGCUUAGGCGGCGGCUGUUCGCUUUCUUCUUCGCGAGAGAGAAAGGUUUUUAGGCGAUGGUCUCUAUAUAUAUUUUUUUUUCUGUUUUAGUGUCAAGAUUCGUACCUUUAAACGUGCUACUUCCUACUCAAAUAUUGAGCAAUAAAUAGAACUAAAAUUCAAAAACGUAUCACAAUUAGACACACAAUCGAAGUAGAAAAAAAAUAAAUGAGGUAAUAUACUAAUAUCAGUCUAGAUAUUUUUAAGAUGUCAAAUACAACACUUUUACAUGGAAUGUGUCAUUGUGAGACGUUUAAGCUCGAGUAAGUAAAGUUUUCUUAGAUGCUCAACUAAAUCCCAAUAUUAUACAAGCAUUUUUUAUUUUGAAGAAAAUCCAUUUCACAAGUAAAGAUUUUUUUCUUGCAAUUUUCACAAAAUAUGCGUAUUUAAAUAAAUUACAAAAGUAGAAGGAACUAAAUGGUUUUGUGUGGCCCAAGUAUUUAACUUUUGGUGGGCUUAAAGAAACGUAAGCCCAAAAGUUUGUUCGUCCUCCAAAUUCUUAUCUUGUUUUGGAGCGAUUGCUUGUUUGUUUCAGUGAGUUAUGGAUGGACACAUAUGAAGGAGACCUAGAAUUCAACAGAGAAGAAUCAACUAUUGGACCUUUAAGCCCAAUAUUGGUUUUACGUUCUUUAUUUAUAAAGCCCAUUAAGUGUGAGUCUAUCUUCUUGACGGCAUUCAAAUUCAAAGCCUGUUUUCCUUUUUUUUUUUGAAAAAAUGUUAAAUUAAUUCAAACAAAAAAUCUGUUUUACAGAGAAGGCAUAUAAUCGUGUCUUCUUCCUACCAAAGUCCACACAAAAAUCGUCCCAGGAAAACCGUUCUCGUGACGGUUAAUGGCGAUCGUAAGUGCGAUUUUUUCUCCUUCCCACUGAUCAAAAUUUGGCUCUGAUCAAAGCAACAACUAGUGUUUCUGGUGAUGCAUCUACAAUCCAAACGUCAUCAUGGUGAUUGCAGUGAUGAAAAUAGCCAUGGUUAUGGCUCUUCUCCAACGACAAAUACAUAGUAUUUUGUCAUUUCUCUUUCUCGUAACCAUGGUGGUUGUGGAGGGAUUCGUCUUGAUGAUGAUGAUCAUUAAUCAGAAUCUGGAUUUUCAGGGUUUGAGAUCAGUUCAUCCAUCGUCAACAAGAGGUCUAACGCAACAACAUUCGGUACGUAACAUGUUAUUUGAAUACAUUCACGGUGUCGGUACAGGACAGUCUUACGGCAAGUUCACUAUGACAUCUUCUAUCUCCGUGGUGGAAAAGGUCCACUGCGAUGAUAUCUUGCUUAUUCAUCGCUAUAGAUGGUGCCUUGGCCGAAGAAUUUGGGAUCCAGGAAAGUUACAAGCUUUUAUGAAGCAACUACAUCACAAGAUCAAGAUGAGAAGAUCAAUUUUAGGAGAAACAAGAAUCUUUUAAAAUCUAUAUUUCGAUACAAUAUAUUUGGUAUCGAAAUAUGGAUAAAUCUGCAUUAUCGUUGAAGCCAUGUAAACCACCAUGGAAAAAACGAUCUUCCAAAAUAGAAAAUGAAGCCUUUUUGUUGUACGGCGACGUUCUUAUAGUCGUUGAAAGUUGGUUAUCCCAGUUUUUAGUUUUUGCAGUUGAAUCAAUAUAUUGGAUUCAAAACUGGAAAAUAUCUAUAGUUCUAAACUGGGAUAAGAUCAACAUAAUACAACAAAAGGAAGUGGUGUUUAUGAUGCGAUGCAAAUUUAAAGCUCGCAGAAGAACUGAUAGAGUUGAUACUCUAUCAAAAAAGAAGACCGUGGAGGAAAAGCAUAUUUACAAGUUAAUUCUUUUGAUCUAGUGUUGUUUACUCUUCAUCUUGAUUAUGCUAUUAGUUGUGUUUUAUUAUCUUAUGUAUUGUAUAUGUAUUUGUUUCUGUUACAUUCUAAUUAAUAAAUUCAAGUUGAUAAAAAAAAAAAAAAUCGUGUCUUCUUCCUCACUGAAGCAAAAAAGAGUGCGUUGAAUAAGCUUCACACCUUCUUAAUACUUCUUCUCGCUGUGUAUUUGCUUCAUCUUGAGCGUUGACGGUACCAACCAAUACGGAUGUCGAAAGAGGGAUCGGAGUUCCGUAUUAAGCGGGACAGAACCUGUACCAGGAAGGAAUCGUGACGCCGAACGCUAUCUAUAGAGAUCCGUUGGGUGCUCUGAUCCAUCAAACGAUAUAUCUAUUAUCGCUAUUGGUUGCUGAUGUCUGGUGAUGGAACCGCCACAGUGGAAGCAACCAAGCUUCGCACUCCAUGCUUGAUAAAAUGCACUUUUUUCUUCUUCUUGUUAAAUAUUGCAUGUGAAGUUGAGUCGUUCUGUUGCAUCGUGCAUGUACCGAACUAAAUUGAAAGAUUAAGAAUCACACCUAUAAAAUGUGUGUUAAACGGAGUAUAUACAAUUGUCUAGUGAUUCAUCAAUUGAACAGUCCAUGUCUCGACUCUUGUCUCUUCUUCGUUAUGAAACAAGACUCUUCACGUAUAGAUGUUUUGCACUCUUUAAGAACAAAAAGGUAAUGACGGUGUGAUGGGCUGUUCUGACCCGUUUGAGCCCGCCAUACUUUAAGCUAAGCUGCUCGGUAGCCCGGCUUGUUCUGCUUUAUGGUUUUCAAGCUCUACUCUGGUUUGUGAAAUGGACUCCCUAAAAUCAUCACAUUUCUUCCCUCUCCUCGUUGGCUCACUCACAGGUACUUACUUUUUUUUUUUUUGCUUAAACAUAGUACUUAGUUUAGUGGAAAACUUCAAUAUAUAGUAGACGGCAUACGGCACACGAACAUUUGUGGAGAUCCCAGAAUUUGCUUAAAUUGAUAAUGUCACAAUUAUCAUAAUAGUGAUAAUAUGUUUAGUUCACCUAUUAGAUAAAUCAGCAGGGUUUGAUAUGCAAAAAUCUUUAUCAAUUGAAGUUUAUAAAUAUUAUUACUAUAUUGUUUCCAGAGUUUUUUCUUUAAAAAACAUAACUAUUCAUGUAUUUAUGUCUUUUCCUAGAUUUUAUCUAAAGAUGGUCCCAAACUGAACAAAAUAUGAUUCAUAGUCGUGGUGUAGACAUGUCAAGAUUGUACUAUUGGUUGUGUUUCUUAAACUCCUAGACAGUGAGUAUUCUGGUAUACUUCCCAGUCAAUCGAGAUCAUGUAGAUAAUUGCAACUUAUGUUUAUAAUACGCCACUGCUUUUGUUUUGUCUUCUCUUUGUUGACAUUAAUUUGCUCCUUGUUCUGUUUGGGUUUACAAAAGCAUAACAUUUGUCUGAUAGGUCUUUGAUUAGGGAAACAUCAAGUCAUGUGAAUAAUCCUUUAGCAACUUGAAUAAGUUCAUUCUUUUUAAAAAUGGAGACUGGUAAACUAAUAAACAGGGAGUUGCGUGGAAAGGUGAAAAGGAGGAUAAAUUUUUAGUGCAAUACAGAUGUACAACUGUAGUUGUCACCGAGCAUAUGCCUUGUCUGUUGGUUUCAGUGUUCAAAGCUUAUACUCUUCUGUUUUGUUGGAAUCCGGGAACAGUCAUAGUUGCCUCUUCAGAGUGUGAAGUGGCUUAAUUGGUUAGGUUCUUUGGGACCAUUUAGAUGUCUAUCAAUAGCAAGAAUUUUAAUCCCUUUCACGAAGUUUUGGGAUUAGUUCUUAGCUAUAAAUGUCUAAUCAUGCCUCAAAUAAAGGUCAAUUAAGGAAGAUACAACUGAAUCUUUGAUGGGGUCCAUGAUUGACAGUUCUUUUCAAGAUACGUGUAGGAUUUGCUUAGAGUUUGGAGAAGAAGAGGACCACAAGAGGAAAACAUAACAUGUGAUGCGAGUAAAACUGCUCCUAUAUCAAACCCAUUUGGUUGUCCAAAAAAAAGAAAAGAAAAAUCAAACCCAUUUGUUAUUUAUCAUUUUGUCUCAGAAAGCUGAAGCUGAUCCUCGAGUCACUCCCUCACAAGGGGUUUUGCUUCUUCACACGCAACCUAUACACAAAAUAUCAAACUCUUUUUUGGGUAUUUUAUCUAUAUUUUAAUAUAUUGCCAAAAACUUCCAGAUCUUUUGGACAGGGGACUAGAGCAUGCAAUUUAGUGACCUAGUUCACGUAUACUUCCCCAUAGUAGUUUCGACCAGUUUUAUUACCAACUUCAGAUUAUUUUUCGUAAAGGGUGUCAAAAUAGACAUCAGGAUAAGGUUGAUGAUGAUUAUGUACAUGUUUAGUAAUUAAUUAUGGGGUUUAGGUUUGUGUUGUCAUCAAGAAAUGAAUAUGGGGAGUGUCACAUCUAUAGUUUUGCUUAGAGUCUCUAGGCAACAUGUCUUUGCUGACUGACCUCAUUCUCCUCUUUUAAUGCUUUGUUAGAAGCCUUAUGGGAACAGGCAAGAGCCAUAAAGAUAUUCUGGCUCUUGAACUAAAUAAACAAAAUUUGAUGAAACAAAAUUAUAAAAAUACUCUCUUGUGUUAUUUGAGUUUGUUUACCCAACUAGUUUCCUUCUUGUUUUAUGUAGUUUAAUUAUGGUGUGGUGGUUGGGAGAAAAAAAGAAAAGGAUUGGAUUCAAGAGAUUUAUACAGUUCUUUUGAUAUGCACUUUCUAGUGCUUCUUGUGAAAAUGUUCUUAAUCUUGUUAAUAAAUCUCGCCUAUUGUUUUCUCUCAAAAUUUUCGGCUACUCCAGAGUAAUGAUCAACCAAGUCUUUGAUUUAUUGCUCAAUAGCUUUUAUAUCACGUUUGGUUCUUGCUUCGUUUGUUUAUGUUUAUGUUUAUCAUUUUUUUUUUUUUUUUUGAAACACACUUAUAUUAAAAACCUUAACCGAAGUUAGGUGCAGCCAUAAUGGCAAGUUCAACAUUCAGACUCUGUUUUGCUAAGCUGUCGGCAACUGUAUUUCUCUCACGUGAGAUCCAGUUGAAAGAAAUAACAUCAAAAGAUUAUCAUUUCUUAUUUGUGAUUUUUCUUGAGAAAAUAUCACUUUGUAUUUUUGUUUGCCUUUCGUAGUUUCUCUUUAGCGUGUAACGUUCACGAAUAAGUUUACGAGUGCGUCUUUAUCUUCUUCUUUUAUUUUUGAUAGUAUAUUUUGUUGUUUUUUUUUUGUUAUCUUUGCGAUUGUCUUUUGCAUAUGUAUGUCUGCAUAAAGAAAAAUUUUAGUUGCUAAAACAUUCGCAUUAGCAUUAAAUUUCAACGUUUUGCAUUUGUAUUUUUUUGUUUGCGUGCAGCUUUAAUUUGUUAUUAUGCACAUUUGUUAUUACCAAUUUGGUUAUUAACCGCUAGAGUAGGUAAGUAAAUCUAUGAGGAAUAUACAUAUGAAUAUAACAUACAUAUAUAUUGAAUUAAUUAAUUAAAUCUAUGAUUAAAAAAAAGGAAUAUACAUACACAUAUAUUGAAUUUGGUUGGUGGAAGUGACACAUAACUAUGCAAUAUGAGUGAAAAGGGCGUGUGUGCAAUGAUGAUUUGUGAAAGUGUGUGGAUCUCCCACGUCUCCUAACUCGCAGCCCACUUGGAAUUUUAUGCAAAUUUGAAUUUCACAAAAACAAGUCAGCAUUAUACGACUCUUUCCAGAUUCUACCUUCUCUUGCUUCUUUUCUUUUCUUAAUUUUUAUUUUCAUGAAUAUACACAUGUAUUUGUGUGGGUGUUACUUCUUAAUAAUCUAAUUUUUUUUUUGAAGAUAAAGAUGAAAUUCUUAAUAAUCUAAUUAAACCGCUAAAAAGGUAAAUUUGAGAUGCACUUUGAUUCUUCUCACUAAGCUGAAUAACUUAUGUUAUGAUCUUCUACUUCUCAAAUAACGGGGUUGUGUUUCAAACAGGGGAAACUUGCGUCGCGAAGGACUAAAAUGCAGUUCGGAUACUAUAUGGGUAAUAUAUGUGCACAUAACACUACCACGAUCGUCAUUGUGACUGCGAACUACAGGGGGAGUAGAGAUGAAAGUCGGCUCUCAUUAUCGGACUACUAUUGUAUUUGUAUAUCACUCUUACUGUAUUUGUGUUAAAAAACGGAACCAUUUAAAAUA